AAGGUCGCGAACCCGCGAGGGGGAGCCAAUCCCAAAAAGCCGCUCUCAGUUCGGAUUGCAGGCUGCAACUCGCCUGCAUGAAGCCGGAAUCGCUAGUAAUCGCGGAUCAGCAUGCCGCGGUGAAUACGUUCCCGGGCCUU
rnacentral:rRNA from 1 species